rnacentral:rRNA from 1 species
UACGGGGGGGGCAAGCGUUGUUCGGAAUUACUGGGCGUAAAGGGCCAGUAGGCGGCCAACUAAGUCGGAUGUGAAAUCCCCAGGCUCAACUUGGGAACUGCAUCCGAUACUGGAUGGCUUGAAUUCGGGAGAGGGAUGCGGAAUUCCAGGUGUAGCGGUGAAAUGCGUAGAUAUCUGGAGGAACACCGGUGGCGAAGGCGGCAUCCUGGACCGAUACUGACGCUGAGGAGCGAAAGCCAGGGGAGCAAACGGGG